AAGCCUGAGAAAUUUUUCGUUAUCCCUAAAUAAAAUCCAUAUCAUUCCCAACUGAACUCUCGAGUGAGGGAAUCACAACACUUGCAUUAAACCAAGCAAAUGGCGGCAGAGACUCUGAGAUUAGCCGGUUCCAGUUCAUAUUCGCUUUGCACCUUCAAUGACUUUCCAACGUCGAGGGGAGCUACCUCUUCCUCCAGACCAAUUCGGUUUCAGGGUCUCCCUCCUCGAGCUUCAAUCUCUCCUUCUUCAAUCUCUUCGUCGCUUUCUUAUUUUUUGGGAAGCAUGCGUUUUGGCUCACAGUUUUCCAAGGUCUCUAUUUCAUGUCAACAGCAACGGAGGAGGAGAAACUUGUCUGUCUUUGCCAUGGCCGCUGACGGUCUCUCUUUCUCUCUCUUUUUCGAUUUUGUCUGUCUUUGCCAGGGCCGCUGACGGUCUCUCUUUCUCUCUCUUUUUCGAUUUUGUCUGUCUUUGCCAGGGCCGCUGACGAGGCAAAGCGUGCAGUACCACUGAAAGAUUACCGCAACAUUGGA
rnacentral:misc_RNA from 1 species